UCGAGCGGUAGAGAGGUGCUUGCACCUCUUGAGAGCGGCGGACGGGUGAGUAAUACCUAGGAAUCUGCCUGGUAGUGGGGGAUAACGUUCGGAAACGGACGCUAAUACCGCAUACGUCCUACGGGAGAAAGCAGGGGACCUUCGGGCCUUGCGCUAUCAGAUGAGCCUAGGUCGGAUUAGCUAGUUGGUGAGGUAAUGGCUCACCAAGGCUACGAUCCGUAACUGGUCUGAGAGGAUGAUCAGUCACACUGGAACUGAGACACGGUCCAGACUCCUACGGGAGGCAGCAGUGGGGAAUAUUGGACAAUGGGCGAAAGCCUGAUCCAGCCAUGCCGCGUGUGUGAAGAAGGUCUUCGGAUUGUAAAGCACUUUAAGUUGGGAGGAAGGGCAUUAACCUAAUACGUUAGUGUUUUGACGUUACCGACAGAAUAAGCACCGGCUAACUCUGUGCCAGCAGCCGCGGUAAUACAGAGGGUGCAAGCGUUAAUCGGAAUUACUGGGCGUAAAGCGCGCGUAGGUGGUUUGUUAAGUUGAAUGUGAAAUCCCCGGGCUCAACCUGGGAACUGCAUCCAAAACUGGCAAGCUAGAGUAUGGUAGAGGGUAGUGGAAUUUCCUGUGUAGCGGUGAAAUGCGUAGAUAUAGGAAGGAACACCAGUGGCGAAGGCGACUACCUGGACUGAUACUGACACUGAGGUGCGAAAGCGUGGGGAGCAAACAGGAUUAGAUACCCUGGUAGUCCACGCCGUAAACGAUGUCAACUAGCCGUUGGGAGUCUUGAACUCUUAGUGGCGCAGCUAACGCAUUAAGUUGACCGCCUGGGGAGUACGGCCGCAAGGUUAAAACUCAAAUGAAUUGACGGGGGCCCGCACAAGCGGUGGAGCAUGUGGUUUAAUUCGAAGC
rnacentral:rRNA from 1 species